rnacentral:rRNA from 1 species
CCUACGGGAGACAGCAGUGAGGAAUAUUGGUCAAUGGACGAGAGUCUGAACCAGCCAAGUAGCGUGAAGGAUGACUGCCCUAUGGGUUGUAAACUUCUUUUAUAUGGGAAUAAAAUGUUCCACGUGUGGGAUUUUGUAUGUACCAUAUGAAUAAGGAUCGGCUAACUCCGUGCCAGCAGCCGCGGUAAUACGGAGGAUCCGAGCGUUAUCCGGAUUUAUUGGGUUUAAAGGGAGCGUAGGUGGAUUGUUAAGUCAGUUGUGAAAGUUUGCGGCUCAACCGUAAAAUUGCAGUUGAAACUGGCAGUCUUGGGUACAGUAGAGGUGGGCGGAAUUCGUGGUGUAGCGGUGAAAUGCUUAGAUAUCACGAAGAACUCCGAUUGCGAAGGCAGUUCACUGGACUGCAACUGACACUGAGGCUCGAAAGUGUGGGUAUCAAACAGGAUUAGAUACCCUAGUAGUC